rnacentral:lncRNA from 1 species
ACCAAAAAGAACAAAAAAGAGAGAGAGAAGGAAGGAAGAGAGAGAGAAAGAUAGAGAAAGAAAGAAGGAAAAAAAGAAAGGGAGAUCCGUCCAAACCGUCGACAUUUUGGAGAAACCUCAAGGAAGGUUGAGAUGAAGCUGCUGCUAAAAUUUGGUGACCAUCGGAGAAGUUGGCCGCCUCAUGAACAGUGGCGCCGCAUGAAUAGUGCAGCGCGUGAAUAGUGACUUAAAUUCUGUGUUUAGCUAAUUAAAUCACAUAAUUAAGGUAGAGUUUGUAUGUGUGAUUUUGGUGAAGAUUGGAGAAGUUUUGAAUCGAUUAUAAAUUUCUGAAAUUUAGAAUUUCGAUUAUCGAUUUACGAGAAUCCGACCGUUGGAAUUCUCUCGAAUUUGCCCUAGAACUUGUAAAUUAAUGGAAUGUUGUUAGUGGUAAAGGCAACAUACCGAGCUAUUGCUCGACGAAGGAACUCGUAUGCGUGA